rnacentral:rRNA from 1 species
UACGUAGGCAGCGAGCGUUGUUCGGAGUUACUGGGCGUAAAGGGCGCGUAGGCGGCCUGCUAAGUCGAACGUGAAAUCCCCGGGCUUAACUCGGGAACUGCGUCCGAUACUGGUGGGCUUGAAUCCGGGAGAGGGAUGCAGAAUUCCAGGUGUAGCGGUGAAAUGCGUAGAUAUCUGGAGGAAUACCGGUGGCGAAGGCGGCAUCUGGACCGGCAUGACGCUGAUGAGCGAAAGCUAAGGGGAGCAACGGGG